GUCCUCGGAACUCGGGCUCCAACGCUAACUCCGAUUGGCUGUCGAGGCUGUCGAGAUAGCGCGCGAGAAAGAGUGGGUGUCCCGCGCAUGCGCAUCUCUGAUCCUCCCGAUGGAUGACGUGCAUUACCUCCACUCCCAAGUUUGCCUCAGGAUCUAUUCCAGCUUCAGUUAUUAUGCCUGUAACAGCAGCAGGACGUGCCUGAAGAUUGCACACAACCCCAUUGGGUCUCCUUGGUUAGAACACUGUCAUGUGACCACACCCAAAUGCAAGGAGGGACUGUGGAAAAAGGUCACCAGAGCGGCUCUGUUCCGUGAAAUUCUCAGCAACUCAGGUUCAUUCCAGUCCUCACUCUGCUAUGCCCAGAGUGUGGGCCUCAUCCUCAUGGUCCAGGAUGGCAACUCCUGUGUACCAGACACCAGAUGGAGGAAGGGAUAAUGAAGAAGGAGCAAGGGGCAUUUGCCAACUAUCUCUUCAGGAGAUUUCUCAGAAGCUGCCAAAUAACACUUCUGCUUACAUCUCAUUGGUCAGAAUUUGGUCACACGGCCACACAUAGCUGCAAGGUAGGCUGGAAAAUUAGAAAUAAAGAAUGGAUUUUGGAUGGUCUUGUGCCCAGCUAGAAAUUUUAUUACUAUGGAAAAAUAGAA